UCGGAAAAGGAAGCAAUCGCUGCCAUUUAUUGGGAGAGGAAAGUCUGGACUUCGCAGAAAAAGGUGCCAGUGAAAUACUGGGGGCCGCAAGGCUACGGAAAGUGCAACAGAAAACAAACCACCGUGAAAACGGUAAGGGUGAAAAGGUGAGGUAAGAGCUCACC
rnacentral:RNase_P_RNA from 1 species